AAUACUUUAUUUGAAUUGUCCUUUGGAAUCCAUGUAUAUUUUUCUUUGUUUAUAGUUUAUACAUAUAUGAUGGGCACAUCUAUGUGAAAUGAAUUGAUGACUAUAUUGGAUCGUACAAUGUUUGUGUUAUUAUUAAUGGGACAUCAAAUCAAGAGUCUUCAAAAAACCUCAAGUCUCCUCGGUGUUAAUCCAAAAGUAAUUAAAAUUGGAGGGUGAGCGAGGGUUUCUGCUCACAUCCAGGGGUAGUGGACCUAAUCGCGGGCAGGGUUAGUGGAGUCUGCUCGUGAUUUUCAGGGAAGGAGCCUCUACUGCUCGAAUUUUGGGGGAGUUUUCUGCCUUCUGUCUUCUUUAUCUAUUGUUUUAUCGUUUUAUUUUUUCUGAUUAUAGGAUUUUAGGUAUUUUAUUUUCUGUUGUAAUCUAGCUUCAAAAAAAAGACCGAACUGUGGGGAGACAGAGCUAGCAAUCACACCGAGGAGGCUUGGAGGCACUACAACCGCAACAAUAGGCAGUAUGAGGCAGUAUGAGGCUUGGAGACACACAAACAGGAGGGCAGUCGAUCACGUCAAGAAUGCACAGGAAUUCUGGAGAAAUUUCGCAAAGACUCGGAACACUACAAAUAACAACCACCCGAACAGAGGUCAUGGAAUAUUAGAAGAAAAUCGCAGUGCAAAAGGAAGGAAAUCAAGUAGCCUGGAAUUGGGUGACCUCAGAGGGCUGGAUUUUGUAUCUCCGGUAGACCCUGGCCGCCCAGAGGUUGUAAGAAACAUCAAAUAAUCCCACCAAAAUUCGGGGACAAACUUCAGCUCACGCUAAGGGCCCUAGGGAACACACCAAGCUAUCAGAGCCUUGUAUUAUAGAAAUAUAAGAUGAUAUGAGAGUUACCUCAGAGAGAAUUGAUUAGUGCUCUCACUGUGAAGAAAAUAAAUUCACUGGAGAAAAAUGAUUAACAAAUUCCAGUCUUUAAAUAAGAAUAGGAAUUCCCAGAUCUACUUUAUUAGUGGGCAGACAUGACCAUUUUAUUCCACUUUAUUCAGACUUAUUUUAUUGUAUCAG
rnacentral:lncRNA from 1 species